rnacentral:rRNA from 1 species
AGUGAACGCUGGCGGUAGGCCUAACACAUGCAGGUCGAACGGCAGCACAGUAAGAGCUUGCUCUUACGGGUGGCGGGUGGCGGACGGGUGAGGAAUACAUCGGAAUCUACUUUUUCGUGGGGGAUAACGUAGGGAAACUUACGCUAAUACCGCAUACGACCUACGGGUGAAAGCAGGGGAUCUUCGGACCUUGCGCGAUUGAAUGAGCCGAUGUCGGAUUAGCUAGUUGGCGGGGUAAAGGCCCACCAAGGCGACGAUCCGUAGCUGGUCUGAGAGGAUGAUCAGCCACACUGGAACUGAGACACGGUCCAGACUCCUACGGGAGGCAGCAGUGGGGAAUAUUGGACAAUGGGCGCAAGCCUGAUCCAGCCAUACCGCGUGGGUGAAGAAGGCCUUCGGGUUGUAAAGCCCUUUUGUUGGGAAAGAAAAGCAGCAGGUUAAUACCCCGCUGUUCUGACGGUACCCAAAGAAUAAGCACCGGCUAACUUCGUG